GUAAUAGCUCACUAGUCGAGAGGUCCUGCGCCGAAAAUGUCCGGGGCUGAAACACACUGCCGAAGCUUUGGAAUUGAUUUAAUUCAAUUGGUAGAGGAGCAUUCUUAAAGGGAGGAAGCAGUACCGGAAGGAGCUGUGGACUUUUAAGAAGAGAGAAUGCCGGAAUGAGUAGCGAGAGGAAGGUGGGAAUCCUUCCGGCCGAAUAUCUAAGGUUUCCAGAGUAAAGCUGAUCUGCUCUGGGUAAGUCGGGGCCUAAGGCGAGGUCGAAAGACGUAGUCGAUGGAUAACAGGUUGAAAUUCCUGUACUAUCCUGUAACAGAACUGUGGGGACACAGGCAGAGAGCGUGAGCCGGGAAUGGAAAGACCGGUACAAGCGAGGUAGGAGUUCAGUUGGCAAAUCCGCUGAACAAUCUGAAGACGUGAUGUGGACCGAAAAGAAGUAGGGAAGCACGUGAGCUGACUGUCAAGAAAAGCCGCUAUUGUUUGCAGGAUACCCGUACCGUAAACCGACACAGGUGGAUGAGGAGAGAAUCCUAAGGCCGACGGGAGAAGCAUUGUUAAGGAACUCGGCAAAAUGACUCCGUAACUUCGGGAGAAGGAGUGCCAGUAAGAUGGCCGCAGAGAAUUGGCCCAAGCAACUGUUUAGCAAAAACACAGGUCUAUGCAAAACCGAAAGGUGAGGUAUAUGGGCUGACGCCUGCCCGGUGCUGGAAGGUUAAGGGGAGAGGUUAGCGCAAGCGAAGCUUUGAACUUAAGCCCCAGUAAACGGCGGCCGUAACUAUAACGGUCCUAAGGUAGCGAAAUUCCUUGUCGGGUAAGUUCCGACCCGCACGAAAGGCGUAAUGAUUUGGGCACUGUCUCAACAAUGCACCCGGUGAAAUUGAAAUACCAGUGAAGAUGCUGGUUACCUGCGCCAGGACGGAAAGACCCCAUGGAGCUUUACUCCAGCUUGAUACUGGGAUUCGGUAUUGUAUGUACAGGAUAGGUGGGAGGCUUAGAAGUGGUUACGCCAGUAGCCAUGGAGCCGCUGUUGGGAUACCACCCUUGCAGUACUGGGUUUCUAACCAGCAGCCGUGACCCGGCUGGGGGACAAUGUCAGGUGGGGAGUUUGACUGGGGCGGUCGCCUCCGAAAGGGUAUCGGAGGCGCUCAAAGGUUCCCUCAGAAUGGUUGGAAACCAUUCGAAGAGUGCAAAGGCAGAAGGGAGCUUGACUGCGACACCGACGG
rnacentral:rRNA from 1 species